GAUCGACUAGGACAAUUGAACGAAAUAUUUUCAAAUGAGAGUUUAAUAAAUCUGCACCUACAGAUUUUAAUUUUUAUUACAGAAAGAAAUUAAAUAGAUAAGAGAUCAAAUAAUGUGACAACCCCCACAUAUACUCAUCUUCUAUCUUCAACGAAUGUCAUUUCAUACUUAGAGCCAGUGUGGUUCUUCUAUAUUCCUGCUCCCUGCUCAUGCUGUUUUGAAGCAAAUUUAGGCAUCAUUUAACUUAGCAUAGUGCAAACACUUCAGUAGGAAGCUCUAAACGAUAAGAAUUCUUUGGCUUUAAAAAUAAAAACAGAUCAAGGAAAUAUUUUGAACCUCAGACCCUCUUACAUUUUUGUGGACAUUUUUUUUUCAUGAGCUGCAUUUCUCAAAAUACUAACUUCAACCCACAUGUUAGGGGAGAAAAAAAAAAUUCAAGAGCAUCGCUAGUCCCUGGUUUGCUUCAAAGGAGUGUUUUUCUCACUUAUGGCAGAGAUUUAAGAAACUAAAUUUCUCUUCUGUGAGUCACUGUUGUUUUAGUUGUGAAUUUUCACUUUUGGUGUUCAAAUAAAUUAUUUACUUUAAUAUAUCUAACUGGUUCCACAAAAAAACUUGACUUGAAAAGAUGUACUGGACACUUACUUUAUGCUACACGCUAUUGGUACAGGAAAGUAGAAGUGGCCAGGUAAGGAAAGCAAGGCAGAAAAUUAGCCUCCCCCUCCCUCUGACGCCCAAACUUUGUUGGACAUCUUACAGUGAUUAUGCCAUUCAAUUGCCUUUUAUAUUGGGGGAUAUAUAAAAAUACACACACACACACACACAUUUGUAAGAGUGGCAGGAACAGUGCUCUCUCCAACUCGUACACUACUGUUGUUUCCAUAAUUGCCCCCAAAGAUAACUCUGUUUCUCAGACAUAAACUGCCGCAGUCUGGCUGGGCACAAAUGCCGCAGUCUGGCUGGGCACACGAUCACGAGCCACCACACAGCUUGUAGAUUCAAACAGCAACUCUUUAUUCCCGAACUCACACCAGCCGUCUACAAACACGUUCUGGGGAAAUCCACGUUCUCUGCCCAAAUCCACCACCACUGGGCUUCUCUCUCCCACAAAAAUACUGUCUGAAUCCCAUGAGAACUCAAGGGGAACUCAGGCAGCAGGAUACGCCCUAUUCCCAGCAGGAAUAAUCUUAAACCUGGAACGCCCUAAACCCGAUUAUCCUAAACCGGGAACACCCUAAUCCCGGAUCCGCCCUGGUCCUUGAGCAAGGUCACCUAACUGCAAUGUCACUGCAAAAUGUCCUAUUUCCACGAGUCCUUCCACUAAGCAACAUGGGGUACGCUGGCAAGGAAAUUGUCAUACCUACUUGGCUAAUGGCUCCCAGCAAUAAACCCUGAAGUACUCCCCACCCAUUGAGAGAGAGAACUACUCAAACAUUGCAAAGAUAAAUAUCUCCCAUCUUUAUGGAAUAAAGUAUAAACAUAUAAAAGUGAAUUGUUAUAUCUCAAUAAACAUACUUUUUUAAUCAUUUUUUUUUCUCUUUGAGUUGUUCACAUUGGUAUUGUCAAUAAUGAGCUCCCCCCCUCAAAAUACCACAAUUUAAAAGUAGAAAGAUUUUCUCUCUGAUUUCGUUAGAACAACUAAAGUGAUAGACUUGAUUCUUGGACUUGACAUGAUGUAAUUUUUUAAGGGGGAAGAAGAUGACAAUUCUUUAAAACAUUUUUAUUAUUAUGUAUAAAAGAGUAUCUAUGCCAGUAAUGCUGGCACAUGCCUGUAAUCGCAGCAGUUUAGGAGGCUGAGGCAGGAGGAUUGCGAGUUCAAAGUCAUCCUCAAGCAAAAGUGAGGCACUAAGCAACUCAGUGAGACCCUGUCUCUAAAUGAAAUACAAAAUAGGGCUGGGUAUGUGGCUCAGUAGUUGAGUGCCCCUGAGUUUAAUCCCUGGUAUCCCCACCCCCUAAAAAAAAAAGCUUAUCUGUAACAUUAGAGUUACAAAGCAUAAUAUUAAAAUAACAGCAUGAAUUUCUACCCAAUUUAAAGCUACAACCCCUCCAAUGUGCUCCACUCUACCUUCUGAACUAAUUUCCAUCUUGAACUUUCUAUUUACAUCAUUACAUACAUUUUUAAAAAGUAAUUUUGCUCUAUGUGUACAUAUUAUUAAAAUUGUUUAGUUUUAUUUGGGGGUUUUAUAAAAUGUAAUCAUAUCAUAUGUGG
rnacentral:lncRNA from 1 species